UAGGGAAUAUUGCUUAAUGGGCGAAAGCCUGAACUAGCAACACCGCGUGUGCGAAGAAGGCCUUCGGGUUGUAAAGCACUUUUUGAGAGGAUGAGGAAGGACGGUACUCUCAGAAUAAGUCUCGGCUAACUACGUGCCAGCAGCCGCGGUAACACGUAGGAGGCAAACGUUAUCCGGAUUUACUGGGCGUAAAGCGCGUGUAGGUGGUUUGGUAAGUAGAGCGUGAAAGCUCCUGGCUCAACUGGGAGAGGUCGUUCUAAACUGCCGGACUAGAGGAUGGUAGAGGGAGGUGGAAUUCCGGGUGUAGCGGUGGAAUGCGCAGAUAUCCGGAGGAACACCAGUGGCGAAAGCGGCCUCCUGGACCAUUACUGACGCUGAGGUGCGAAAGCCGGGGGAGCGAACG
rnacentral:rRNA from 1 species